GACGAACGCUGGCGGCGUGCUUAACACAUGCAAGUCGAACGCGCCUGUCCUCUGGGUUUCUGGGGGGUGGGUGAGUGGCGAACGGGUGAGUAACACGUGAGUAACCUGCCCCCUUCUUCGGGAUAACGGUCUGAAAGGGCUGCUAAUACCGGGUAUUCACUGGUCUCCGCAUGGGGUCUGGUGGAAAGGUUUUUUUCUGGUGGGGGAUGGGCUCGCGGCCUAUCAGCUUGUUGGUGGGGUGAUGGCCCACCAAGGCUUUGACGGGUAGCCGGCCUGAGAGGGGGAACGGUCACAUUGGGAUUGAGAUACGGCCCAGACUCCUACGGGAGGCAGCAGUGGGGAAUAUUGCACAAUGGGCGCAAGCCUGAUGCAGCGACGCAGCGUGAGGGAUGGAGGCCUUCGGGUUGUGAACCUCUUUCGCCCGUGGUCAAGCCGCGACGUGGGUCGGGGUGAGGGUAGUGGGUAAAGAAGCGCCGGCUAACUACGUG
rnacentral:rRNA from 1 species